AUAAUACCGGAUAUCGUGGGGUCCUGCAUAGGGCCUUGACAAAAGAUUUAUCGGCAGGGGAUGAGCUUGCGUCCGAUUAGCUAGUUGGCGGGGCAACGGCCCACCAAGGCGACGAUCGGUAGCCGGCCUGAGGGGGUGAUCGGCCACAUUGGGACUGAGAUACGGCCCAGACUCCUACGGGAGGCAGCAGUAGGGAAUAUUGCACAAUGGGGGAAACCCCGAUGCAGCAACGCCACGUGUGGGAAGAAGCAUUUCGGUGUGUAAACCACUGGCGUGAGGGAAUAAGGCUAUUUUUCGGAGUAGUUGAAUGUACCUCGAGAGGAAGCACCGGCAAACUUCGUGCCAGCAGCCGCGGUAAUACGAGGGGUGCAAGCGUUGUUCGGAAUCACUGGGCGUAAAGGGAGCGCAGGCGGAAGCUCAAGCGGAUUGUACAAUACCGGGGCCCAACCCCGGACCUGCAGUCCGAACUGGGUUUCUUGGAUAGUUCAGGGGCAAGCGGAAUUCCUGGUGUAGCGGUGGAAUGCGUAGAGAUCAGGAAGAACACCGAUGGCGAAGGCAGCUUGCUGGGGACUUAUCGACGCUCAUGCUCGAAAGUGCGGGUAGCAAACAGGAUUAGAUACCCUGGUAGUCCGCACCGUAAACGAUGCAUACUGGGUGUCCGCGGUUCGCCGCGGGUACCGUAGCCAACGCGUUAAGUAUGCCGCCUGGGGAGUACGUACGCAAGUAUG
rnacentral:rRNA from 1 species